rnacentral:lncRNA from 1 species
GCGCACUUACCCCGCGGCCCACGUCCACAACCCUUCCCUUUCUGUCUCUCUCCCUCUCACACCCACGUCCAGUGAAAACAUGACUCAGACUUUGACAAACUAAUCAAACACAAAAACUGGAAAGCUUCUUAUAAAACAACUGUUUUCCAACCAGAAAAUUACAGAAAACAUAAAUCCCCAAAUUAUGUAAAGCCACGCCAGACAUUAAUCUUAUCCCACAAAAUCUCCACCUUCCUCUCCCUUACAACACUGCAUGUUGGAAUUACCCAACUGAAGUUAGUUGCCUCAGACAACCUUAACCACACAGAUAAUGAAAUUGGGCACAAAAGAAACAAAUGAUCUCCCGGUGUGUGGGUUGUACUUGGAUGGAGAUAUCAAUUUGGUGGAUCAUCAAUAGAAGAACCAUGGCGGCACCGAGCCCAUUUUGUUUCACAAGGCAGCAGCAGGAGUAUGACCCAUUUUCCUCUGCACAACCCAAAAAUUUAAUGGUACCCGUCUUAAACUCUACUAUCCAAAAUCUUCAAUGAUACCCAUCUCAACAAAAACACAAGCUCAAAAUAGUGCCCCUUGAACCAAAACUCACUCUGGUUUCAACAAGAAUGAAUGACACAUUGAAUUUUUUGCUAUUGAGAGCUUGUUCAAGCGCCAGCAUCUCUAACUAUAUUGGAAGUAUAGCUUGGUGGCUGCUAGCUGUGAUUGAUUUAGGGGAUUUCCUUGAUUUAGGGGAUUUCCUUAAUUUAGGGGAUUUGAUCUGGUUGCUUGUAAUUAUAGUUUUCCUAUAAUUAGGGGUUAAAGUCAAGGUGGUGGUCCCUAGCUUAUACAUAUAUACGUGUGUAAUCCUGUAAACUAAAACAUAAUGAGAAAACAUAUUCUCCACAUCAUCAUAUUCUCUCCAUCAUUUUCCACAUGGUAUCAGAGCAGGAACCUUAACCGGCCUGUCUCCAUUUUUACCUUUCUUUCUUCUGUACAUGCUAUUCAAUAAUGGCAGAAGAUAAUCCUUUUGGCUCUGAAGCUAAAAGCUUCACAGUACCUCCUUCUAGUUUUCCAGAAGCUGAAGUCAACCCAAACCAGCGACUGUGCUCUGUGUUGUUAAAUGAGUUUAACUAUCUUCCAUGGUCUAGAGCAGUAACUCUUGCCCUUGGAGGAAGAUCCAAACUCGGAUUUGUUAAUGGAACCAUUGAGGCACCUGAAGAUUCGUCUCCAGAGUAUGAAGCAUGGCUGUGCAAAGACCAACUGGUCAUGUCGUGGCUCCUUAACUCCAUGGAUACUAAGCUGUCUGAAAUCUUCAGUUUUUCAGAAUCCUCUCUUUCUCUUUGGAAGGCAGUCAAAGAUAUGUAUGGCAAUCAAAACAAUGCAGCUCGAGUGUUCCAACUUAAGAGGAAUCUUGCAAGUCUCCAACAAGGUGAUAAAUCCUCUGUUCAUCAUCUCGGUUGUAUGAAAAAUAUGUGGAACGAACUAAAUAUGUAUCGACCACAUACUAUCGAUGCUGCCAUACUGUUAAAGAGGUCUGAGGAAGACAAAAUUUUUCAUUUGCUUGCAAGUUUGGGGUCUGAAUAUGAAGAUCUUAGAAGCCAUAUUCUAAUGAACCCCGAACUUCCAUCAUUUGCAAGUGUUUGCACUACUAUCCAGCGAGAAGAAGUAUGUAGGAAAGUCAUGAAUGUUGACAUCAAAUCUAGUGUGUCUGAGGCUAGAGCGUUUGUGACAAACCACAAGUCAUCUGGAGAUAGAGUGUACAAGGGAAAAAGGCCAGAUCUGAAGUGCUUACACUGCAAUAAUAUUGGACAUCUAAUAGAUCGAUGCUGGAUAUUACACCCUGAGUUGAAGCCAAAGUUUGAGAACAAGCCUUCAAGAGACUACAAGGGCUCACAAACCAGAUCACAUACAAACAAAAACCAUGCUACUGCUGCUGCUACAUCAAUUGAUGGGCUGACAAACUUCAUAGCCAAUCCGGCUAACUUGAUAAAUGAAUUCUCUGCCUAUCUUCAAACCAAAAAAGGAAGCACAGGCGAAGCAUUGACUGCUGGAAAUCAAACUGCUCUCCUUGGGCAGUUUGCAGGACUCUUAGCUGAGUCUAAUCGUGUACCUCAAGGAGAUGUUCCAGGUAUUAUGUGUGCUCUUUCAACUGCUCUAAAUGUUAGUCAUUCUCAUGAUUUUUGAAUUAUAGACUCAGUCCUUGAUUUAGGGAAUUUCCUUGAUUUAGGGGAUUUCCUUAAUUUAGGGGAUUUGAUCUUGUUGCUUGUAAUUAUAGUCUUUUUAUAAUUAGGGGUUAAAGUCAAGGUGGUGGUCCCUAGCUUAUACAUAUAUACCUGUGUAAUCCUGUAAACUAAAACAUAAUGAGAAAACAUAUUCUCCCCAUCUUUUUCCACAUGGUAUCAGAGCAGGAACCUUAACCGGCCUGUCUCCAUUUUUACCUUUCUUUCUUCUGUACAUGCUAUUCAAUAAUGGCAGAAGAUAAUCCUUUUGGCUCUGAAGCUAAAAGCUUCACAGUACCUCCUUCUAGUUUUCCAGAAGCUGAAGUCAACCCAAACCAGCGACUGUGCUCUGUGUUGUUAAAUGAGUUUAACUAUCUUCCCAUGGUCUAGAGCAGUAACUCUUGCCCUUGGAGGAAGAUCCAAACUCGGAUUUGUUAAUGGAACCAUUGAGGCACCUGAAGAUUCGUCUCCGGAGUAUGAAGCAUAGCUGUGCAAAGACCAACUGGUCAUGUCGUGGCUCCUUAACUCCAUGGAUCUAAGCUGUCUGAAAUCUUCAGUUUUUCAGAAUCCUCUCUUUCUCUUUGGAAGGCAGUCAAAGAUAUGUAUGGUAAUCAAAACAAUGCAGCUCGAGUGUUCCAACUUAAGAGGAAUCUUGCAAGUCUCCAACAAGGUGAUAAAUCCUUUGUUCAUCAUCUCGGUUGCAUGAAAAAUAUGUGGAACGAACUAAAUAUGUAUCGACCACAUACUAUCGAUGCUGCCAUACUGUUAAAGAGGUCUGAGGAAGACAAAAUUUUUCAUUUGCUUGCAAGUUUGGGGUCUGAAUAUGAAGAUCUUAGAAGCCAUAUUCUAAUGAACCCCGAACUUCCAUCAUUUGCAAGUGUUUGCACUACUAUCCAGCGAGAAGAAGUACGUAGGAAAGUCAUGAAUGUUGACAUCAAAUCUAGUGUGUCUGAGGCUAGAGCUUUUGUGACAAACCACAAGUCAUCUGGAGAUAGAGUGUACAAGGGGAAAAGGCCAGAUCUGAAGUGCUUACACUGCAAUAAUAUUGGACAUCUAAUAGAUCGAUGCUGGAUAUUACACCCUGAGUUGAAGCCAAAGUUUGAGAACAAGCCUUCAAGAGACUACAAGGGCUCACAAACCAGAUCACAUACAAACAAAAACCAUGCUACUGCUGCUGCUACAUCAAUUGAUGGGUUGACAAACUUCACAGCCAAUCCGGCUAACUUGAUAAAUGAAUUCUCUGCCUAUCUUCAAACCAAAAAAGGAAGCACAUGCGAAGUAUUGACUGCUGGAAAUCAAACUGCUCUCCUUGGGCAGUUUGCAGGAUUCUUAGCUGAGUCUAAUCGUGUACCUCAAGGAGAUGUUCCAGGUAUUAUGUGUGCUCUUUCAACUGCUCUAAAUGUUAGUCAUUCUCAUGAUUUUUGGAUUAUAGACUCAGGUGCCACUGAUCACAUGACAAAUCAAUAUUCAAAGCUAUACAAUUUUGAAAGCUACACUACACCAUCACUAGUUUCUAUAGCAAAUGGUAGAGGUGUACCCGUUCUAGGUAGAGGGAAAGUUAAACUAAUUUCAGAUAAUGUUGAGUCCACAGCAUUAUAUGUUCCAUCCUUUCCUUUUCAAUUGCUGUCCGUAGGAAGGAUUACAAAUUCUCUCAACUGUCGUGCUAUUUUCUCCCCUCACAAUGUUGUUUUUCAGGAUCUAGCCACCAAGAAGCUGAUUGGUGAAGGUCACUACCUAAAUAGGCUGUACUAUUUUUCAAAGAACCUUAAUGUUCCAAAAGGGUUCCAAGUCAGUUCAAAUCUAGAACAUCAGUUGUGGCACCAACGUCUAGCACAUCCCUCAGAAUUUGUUUUGUCUACUUUGUUCCCUAGAUUAUGCAAAUCCUCACUUGUAUGUGAAAUCUGUCAUUUGUCAAAAUUUACUAGACUUCCAUUUAAUUCUUCCAUAUCUAAAGCUAGCAAACUUUUUGAGAUGGUGCACUCCGAUGUUUGGGGACCUGCACCUCUAGAGUCUUUUGAUGGUUAUAGGUACUAUGUUACCUUUGUUGAUGAUUUUUCAAGAGUCACUUGGUUGUACCUCAUAAAAUUCAAAAGUGAAGUCAUGGAUGCUUUCAAGAAUUUUCAUAACCUUGUCAUGAACCAUUUUUCGUCUCAAAUUCACAUACUCAGGUCUGAUAAUGGCACUGAAUAUACAUCCAAAAAUAUGACUAACUAUUUGAGCACACAUGGCAUUAUACAUCAAACAAGUUGUGUAGGUACUCCUCAGCAAAAUGGAAUUGCCGAAAGGAAGAAUAGGGAUCUACUUGAGAAAACCAGGGCUCUAAUGUUACAAAUGAAUGUGCCUAAGAGGUUUUGGUCUCAAGGAGUUCUUGCAGCUACCUACCUCAUCAACAGACUGCCUAGUCGGGUUCUGGAUUCAAAAUCACCAUAUGAGGUCAUGCAAAACAAAAAAAUUAACCUGUCCCAUCUGAGAAUUUUUGGAUGUACUUGUUAUGCUCAUAUCCAAUCCCAUCACCGAGACAAGCUAGAUCCCAAGGCAAUUAAGUGUGUUUUCAUGGGUUACUCCUCCAUUCAAAAAGGUUACAAAUGUUACAAUCCAUGUUCCAGGAAGCUAUUUGUCUCAAGAGAUGUAAGGUUUGAUGAGAUCAAACCGUAUUUCAACAAACCCUCAGAUCAAAAUCGUCAGGGGGAGCACUUACUGGAUUUCUUUCCAUUACCAAAUCCAGCCGAAACAAGUGAUUGUGUUCAUUCAGUACCUCACAACAGUGACUCUCAUGCAACCAAUAUUGACAACGUGAUUAUUGGAGAUGAAACUGAAGCCUCCGAAGCACAAAUUGGAGAUGAAAUUGAAGCCUCCGAAGCACAAGUUGUUCCUCAUGACAAUGACACAUCAUCUAUAGAAGAGAGUGGAGCUGAACCUACUGUGAUCCCAUCUCAACCUCGGAGGAAUCCAACUCGAGAUAGACAUCCACCAUCAAGGCUACAAGAUUAUGUAACGUUCAAUGUAAGGUACCCAAUUCACAAGUUUGUAAAUUACUCCAAAGUCUCUCACUCCCAUGCAGCUUUUCUCAGUAAAUUGUCAAAUGAAAGUGAACCAAGGAAUUUUCAAGAAGCUAAUCUUCAAGAUGUUUGGAGGCUAGCCAUGGAAGAAGAACUCAAGGCUUUGGAUGAAAAUAAAACCUGGAGUGUAGUCCAGCUUCCAAAGGGAAAGAAGGUGGUAGGCAGUAGGUGGAUCUACAAAACCAAAUUUAAUUCUGAUGGUUUAAUUGAAAGACACAAGGCAAGGUUGGUGGCUCGCGGUUUUACUCAAACAUUUGGAGUUGAUUAUAAGGAGACAUUUGCUCCUGUGGCUAAGAUGAGUACAGUGAGGGUUUUGUUAUCUGUUGCAGUUAAUCAUGAGUGGCCGUUGUACCAAAUGGAUGUAAAAAAUGCUUUUUUGCAUGGAGAUCUUGAAGAGGAAGUUUACAUGCAAUUACCUCCUGGUCAUCCACAAGCACAGAAUUCAAGUAUGGUUUGCAAGCUUCACAAAUCCAUUUAUGGAUUGAAACAAUCUCCACGUGCCUGGUAUGCCAAGCUGAGCUCUGUACUUGAAAAGUUUGGUUUCAAGAGAAGUCAUGCUGAUUCAUCCUUGUUUGUUCGAACUGGAUCAGUUGGCAAAUUAGUUGUUCUAAUCUAUGUUGAUGAUAUCAUCAUCACAGGUAAUAAUAUUGAUGAGAUUAACACUCUUAAGCAUUCUCUUCAUCAGAAAUUUGCCAUUAAAGACUUAGGAGUGUUAAAAUACUUCCUUGGGAUUGAAAUGGCUACUUCUCCCAAGGGACUGUUUUUAAGUCAACGGAAGUAUGUGAUUGAUUUGCUUCAAGAAGUGAAGAUGAUAGAUUGCAAACCGGCCCGUACACCUCUUGAUAGCAAAUUGAAGUUGGACUUGGAAGGAGAGCCUCUCAACGAUAUAAGUUACUACCAAAGACUGGUGGGUAAGCUUAUAUAUCUCACCAUUACUAGACCGGAUAUAACUUACGCCGUCAGUCUUGUAAGCCAAUUCAUGCAUGCACCCACUGAGGCUCAUUUAAAUGUUGUUAAAAGGAUUCUAAGAUACCUCAAGGGCUCCAUUGGUCGUGGAAUUAUCAUGAAAAACAAUGGUCAUACUCAAAUCAUGGCAUACACCGAUGCUGACUGGGCAGGGAAUGCUAUUGAUAGAAAAUCCACUACAGGCUACUGCACAUUUGUUGGAGGAAACAUCGUGACAUGGAAGAGCAAAAAGCAAAAUGUAAUUGCUUGCUCAAGUGCCGAAGCUGAGUAUAGAGCAAUGGCUUCCACUGCAUGUGAACUCAUUUGGCUCAAGAGCCUUAUCUCAGACUUGGGUUUUUUGAGCAACAAACCUAUGUCUCUUUUUUGUGACAAUCAGGCAGCUAUGCAUAUUGCCUCCAAUCCCGUGUUCCAUGAACGGACCAAACACAUUGAAGUUGACUGUCACUAUGUUCGUGAACAGGUUCAGUCCAAGGUAAUUCAAACCACAUUCACUCGGAGCCAUGAUCAACUUGCUGAUGUUUUCACCAAGUCUCUUGCUUCCACUCAGUUUCAACGCUUGCUCUCCAAGCUUGGAUCAAUUAAUCCCCUUGAUCCAGCUUGAGGGGGAGUAUUGGAAGUAUAGCUUGGUGGCUGCUAGCUGUGAUUGAUUUAGGGGAUUUCCUUGAUUUAGGGGAUUUCCUUAAUUUAGGGGAUUUGAUCUGGUUGCUUGUAAUUAUGGUUUUCCUAUAAUUAGGGGUUAAAGUCAAGGUGGUGGUCCCUAGCUUAUACAUAUAUACGUGUGUAAUCCUGUAAACUAAAACAUUAUGAGAAAACAUAUUCUCCCCAUCAUCAUAUUCUCUCCAUCAUUUUCCACAAACUACCACCCUAAACGCCAUGGCCGCCACGUUCCACCUCAGUCGGAUCUGGACUCAGUCAGUUCCAAGUUCAGAUUCUCCUAAGCUCUGCCUCAAAAUCUCAAUAUACAGGGAUCGCAAAGAAAGAAAGAGGGAGAGAGAGAAGUAAUUUUCUAUUUUUUAAAAAAUAAAAUAUUUUAUUGAAUUUUUUUUUGUCACACGCGGCACCUACGUGUCAUCAAUUUUAAUAAAAAAAGUGGGUCU